UACUCCUGAUACAGCUGUUAAUGAGAAUGAUGUUGAUGAUAACACCUAGCAACUAUUAGUAAAGACGACCUAAUGGUUGCCUAAUGCCCAGCAAACCUGACUUUUAUUAUUAUUAUUAUUAUUUAUUUUUUAUUUUUUUUUUUUUUGUCUUUUUGCUAUUUCUUGGGCCGCUCCCGCGGCAUAUGGAGGUUCCCAGGCUAGGGGUCGAAUCGGAGCUGCAGCCACCGGCCUAGGCCAGAGCCACAGCAACGCGGGAUCCGAGCCGCGUCUGCAACCUACACCACAGCUCACGGCAACGCCGGAUCGUUAACCCACUGAGCAAGGGCAGGGACCGAACCCGCAACCUCAUGGUUCCUAGUCGGAUUCGUUAACCACUGCGCCACGACGGGAACUCCAAACCUGACUUUUAAAUUCGAACACACCCCUGAGCCCUGGACGUUCCCCUCUUGCCAUUAUGACAUGUGGGGUGAAGGUGGGAGGAGGCCUCCGUCUGGCAGAGGCCCCUUUAAAAAUGUACCCGGGUUCCUCCUCUGCCAACCAAGUUCUAAAAAUAUUACUCCAGCAAAAGCUGAAAUAUUUGCAGAGAAAACUGAAUUUCCUGCUACCCUCACCCCCUCCACUCAAAUGGGCCUGCUGCCAUCCUUCUCCCUCAACUGUGGGGGCCAGCGAAGACAGAGGAGAUGUUUUGAAAUCUGAAGAGUCAAGGAGGAUAACUGCAGCACCGAAGGCCAGCAGGUUAACAGAGUGAGGUAGCCUGCUGCCCAAAGCAGCCUGGCCCAGCAUUCCACGGUGCUUCUGUCCCCUUUCCUUGUUCAUCUAUUCAAGAAUCAGAGGUUCAG
rnacentral:lncRNA from 1 species